CUCAAGGUUGAGAAUUGGCAUUACUUGACGUAUGUCAGAUGAUUGUCAAAUAAAAGUUUUUUGAUUAACAGGGAAUUUUCCAAAAGUUUGAAAUGUAAAACUAGAGAUAAAUAAACUUAGGUUUAGUUUCAAUUUUUUUUUGAUAAAAUGCAGGUUGAAUUCUCUUCAAUAGAUCCAAAUGAGGACUUGACGCAGAUUUUGCCCAUUCAACAGAAACGUACUAUAGCGUUUAUUAAUCAUUUCAUAAUGAACACAGUGUCACAUUUGAAUAAUUUUGCCCAAUCUUGUGAGUCCCGGUUUAUGGAAUUUGAUUAUAAAAUUCAGAAAAUAGAAGCCUCUCUAUCUAUAUUGGAAUCUCAAUUGUCAUCAAUUGAAGGAUUGGAUAGUGCUGAUAUACCCAAAGAAAAUGUAGAUGAUUCUGUGAAUGAUACAACAAAAAAUGAAUUAAAUUUGCCUGUAAUAAAAGAUAAGACUGAAGAAGAAGAAAAAAUCAACCAAGUGGAAUUGCCUUUGGAAAUUACCUCAGGAAUAAAAGCUAAAGAUGAUCCCAGGUUUAGAAAAUUUUUUAAAAUGAUUCAAUUUGGAGUGCCUGAACCAGCUGUUAAACUAAAGAUGCAAAAUGAAGGAAUUGAUCCUACAAUAUUAGGUUAACUACGAUAAUGGAUGGCAUUUUUAUAAGGUUUGGGUUUGUACUUUUUGGUUUAUUUUAAACAUAAAUCUAAUUAACUAGAAUAUGGAUUAUAUAAUACCUCUUCAUUGAUAACAGAUACAUAACUGAACAAGCAAGUGUGAUUUGAAAAGAAAAAUGAGUUUAAGAUCAUUCAGAAUAGUAACCUCGACCAUGUAAAAAAAACCUGAGGAAAUAAUACCCGGCUUAACUGAAGAUUUGUUAAAAGAAUCUGAAGAAAAAUCUGGCUAAAUCAGUUUUUUGUAAAACUGUUAUACAUAAUUCAAUAUAAUGAAUAAAUAUAUAAAUAAUUUGCAA